AGGAAGCAGAGCACCAUGUUAUAAACAAGGACAGAAUGGGGGCAGCAGCCUAGGGGAGCCAGGGAAUCAAAAGCUGCUACAUAUCCAAGACCAUUUCUCACACACACACACACACACACACACACACACACACACACACACACACACACGCAUGGGGAGCGCUAUUGGGUCAAGGUCCUCUCAAACAGCUGCUAGAAGCACACACAAAGAAAACUGUGUUAGAUCUUCCAGGUCAGGAUCAGCUGUGCCAAAGUAUGGUCCAGGAAACUGAGCGACUUCAUGUCCCUGGCAGGUAAUCAAACCCUUUGGCAUUCCCAAGCUGUUCUGGUUUUCAAGUACAACGAGGUGUCUUGGGCUGUUUGGUCACAGAAAAACAAGCACUAAAGAAAUCUCAACAGAUUUCAAAUUGACAGUGUUACUAACUAUAAAUUUAUAUAGUUAAGAACUGAUUAGUACGGGUUAAGCAAUGGGGCCAGUUGAGAUUUUGCUAG